CCCUCCGCUGAAAUAAAAGCAACGUAUGAGCGAGCUCUAAUGAGAAGCAAGUCAACCGGUGAUGGUAUUCUGACAGUUUUCUGCAUUUUAAUCCUUUAGGUUCCUCAGGUGUUCACUUUGUUCUCCAGGCGUGGCCUCUGGCGGAGGGAGGGUACGUGGUGACGUCACAGGUCAUUCCUCGGUGCGGACGCCAAAAUAAAACGGCUCCAAAAAAAAAAAAAACUUUCCUACCGGACUCACGGUGCGAGACGCCGGGCGGCCGCGGAAUGACGCCGUGAAGAAAAGCCAUUUCUCCCCGUGCGGUUCGUAGCGGCUGGUUCGGGCCGCGCCAUUGUUCGCGUAGCGGAGCCUCCCCCCUCCGCCCCCCCCCCUCUCUCCUUCCAGGGGUCGCAGCGCGAGCGGCAGCGGGCUGUGUCACGAGCGGACUCGCUAGCUAGCGUCAAGUUGUACGAAAAGUGGAGGAGAGGACGGCCGAGCGGGAGCGUAUCCGCCUACACACACCUAUGCGACGGACAGCAGCAGGACUAAACAACUUUAAUCCCCUUGCAAAAUAUGCUUAUAAAUAGAAGCCUUUCAUUCGACGGCUUAAUGCUGAGCACUGUAUUCACAACCGCAAACAACCCUCCUUUUCCCUCAUCCCUAACACCUUCUGAUUCCCCCCCACCCUUCUAUGAAGUGCCCCGCUUGUCUAAAGCGCUCAUGUCACUUGCAUUCGACAGCCCCC
ensembl:lncRNA